AUCAGACCGAUUUUUUUAAAGUUGAAUAACGAAUUUAUACUUAUUACCUUGUUAAUCUAUGGAAGGCUAUACCUACAAAUGUAUCAGACUCUGUGUAAAAGUACAGAAGAUAAUCUUUGGGUUAACUCAAUAAACUAAACUUCUGCAUUGAUUGCUACUUGGGAACGCUUAGAUUGUUUAAAUAACUCAAAAUUAGUCCACUUCUUUGAAGGCCCGAAAAUUCUCCACGGAAGGCGGAAAUAGCCUAAUAAUCCGGGCAAUCUUGCCCAACAGAAAUGUGAAAGGCAUAAUUAAAUUGAAUUAUCUAUGAACCUUACGGCAUUUUGCACGUGGAAGCUUUCUGAUUUGUAGGUGGAGGAUGAUGGAGUCAUUAGAAAUUCGGUUGAGAUGAAUAAUUGUGGCAACGAACGAUUCUGGAUACUGUGUUACAGUCGUUUUGGUGAGGUGGAUAUUCUCUUACAGCAGUUUUGGAGAGAAUGAUAAGGGAUAUAUUGUUUCAACAGUGUUUGGUGUGGUAAGUAUUUUGCUUAUAUAUUUUGUAGGUUUUCACCUAACACAGAUAGUAUAUAUGAAAUUUAGGUAGUCUAUUAGUACUGAGAGUUUUUUAGUAACCUUAAGUUUUUGUUUUACUACCUUUGCUACAUUUUUUUUUGUAUAAAAUCACAUAGUAGUAGUAAUUUAUGAUAAAUUCUUUGUUUUGUGGUGACAAUAUUCUGCAGAGUUGUUGGAUAAACAUGUUCCAGUUAAAUUUGGACAAUUAACUUUUAAAAUAUAUUGUGUAUUUUUAGUAGUUUAUACAGAACAAAAUAAAUUAGAAAUAAA